rnacentral:misc_RNA from 1 species
CCGAGUUCGUGCCCCGCGCGGGGUAGAUCUCCCACCCUGUGUGUUUUUACUCUUGUUGCUUUGGCAGGCCUGCGAGGCUUCGGCCCCGCCACCGGCUCCCGGGCUGGUGCGCGCCUGCCAGAGACCCCCCAACUCUGCCUGUCAGUGUUGUCUGAGUCACUAUAAAAUUGUCA